ensembl:lncRNA
CCCGGCUCCACACUCUCCCUAACGGCCUGGGCCCGCAGCCGCAGGGCGAGCGCGGUGCGGCGGGAGGAAGCGAGCGCUCGCCCAGGGUCCCCGAGGGGUCGGCCCGGCCCCUGCGCCCGCGUUUCCAUCUCAAAUACAGCUGCGCGCAGGGCUGUUUGGGCGCCCGCGGCGCCCGGCCAGCGGCCCGGCGUGUAUUUAUAAGCACACAGCCCCACAGACAGGUCUCACCGACAUCAUUUCGCACGGCCCCGCGGUGCCGGCGGCCUGCUUCCCGACCUCCCGUCGGGGGCGGCCGCCGGUAAUCGGCGUUGAUGGGAACCGCGCUCUCCCGGCCAGAGGCACGCAGCCCGCCGCCCACAGCCAGCGCCGGCCUCCCUCCCGGGGCCCGGGGGCCGGGCCUUCCUGGUAGAGCUCUGGGGAGAGGCGGCUGUAAACACGCCGCGGGCUGACCCGCGUAUGGAAAUGACUCGCGGUCGGGCCUGGCGCCCGGCCACAGGCCUGCGGCCUCGCUGCCGCCAAGUAUCUUUAGCAGGAGCCUCGGAACCGCGGGCCCCCCGCCGCCUCCGCAGGCCCCCGCCCUGCCCGCUCACACCCCAGGGCCGAGCCUCACCCUCGAGCGCGCGACGAGGGCCCGGCUCCAUCGCCCCCCGUGUCAUCUGACAGUAAUCAUGACUUCCGCUGCCUGGACCGGGCUCUUGUUCCCAGGACCAGGCUGCAUUUACACGGAAGCAGCGGAGAAAGGAAGGCCACAGAGGGCAAGGCCGCCCUUGGGCUGGGGUCUCGCAGCUGUGGGAAAGCGGCAGGUGAAGGAGACAGUGAAACUUCUCUUGGUCUCCGUGACCGGUGGCCUCUGUUUUCUCUGAGACGCUGACACGGCCGGGGUUAACCCCUCGAUGAGACGGUGCACAGGGCACGUGGCUGUUCCACAGAUCCGUCCACUGAAGCUCCUCUCUCUCUCUCUCCCUCCCACUUUCUUUCCUCGCCGCCCCCUCCGUGUGCCCAUUCUCUACAAUACCAGCAGUUGGAUUGUUCUUUCUCGAGUUGAAUCACCCUCAACCUCCCUGUAGGUUCCACAUUCGCUCCCAUGUCUGCCCUCCAGGGCCGGGCAGGAUAAGUAGAUGAGAAAACGACCAUGGGGAUGAUGCUGGGGCUGCCGCUGAUGAGGCAAAUAUUACUCAGCUCUUACCUUGCACUGGGAAAUUUGCAGCCGUUCCGUCACAUACGAGGAUCGCAACCUCACAGAACAGGUUCUUUAACCAUCUCCAUUUCAGAGACUGUGAAACUGAGACUUGGAGGCAUUCAGUAACUUGUCCCACAUUUCACAGCAAACGGGUGGCAGAAUUAGGAUUUGAUUCAGAGUGCGAUCCAAAAGCCAGUUCUCUUAACCACGGGGAUGCAUUGAUUUUUUUUUCUCUGUCUUCAAUUUGUGCAUGCAUGCUGUCUAUUCAGUCAUGUCUGACUCUUUGCAACCCCAGGGACUGCAGCCCACCAGGCUCCUCCAUCCAUGGGGAUUCUCCAGCCAAGAAUACUGGAGUGGGUUGUCAUGCCCUCCUCCAGGGGAUCUUCCCCACCCAGGGACUGAACCCAGGUAUCCUGCAUUGCAGGUGGAUUUUUUACUGUCUGAUCCACCAGGGAAGCCCAAGAAUACAGGAGUGGGUAGCCUAUCCCUUUUUCAGGGGAACUUCCUGACGCAGGAAUUGAAU